GCAAUGAAAACUGCUCAAUACGGCAACAUCAGGUAUUUAUGGGAGCCUAUGGGAAACGUUCAUUUCGCUGGUGAAGGAAUUUCCUUUACACGAAAGUGGAUACAAGGUGCUUUAGAAAGUGGUUUAAAAGCUGCAUAUCAAGUUUAUGAACGACAUAUGUACAGAAAUGGUCACCAUGUUUAAAUAGACACAAGAAUGUCACAAUUCCUUCAAUACUUUUCCAUUUUUUCAAAUAUUUGCAUAAAGUUUUUAACCAUUUUAAUAAUUGUCCCUCUUGUAGGAAUAAAUUACUUUUGACCUUCA